AGAGUUUGAUCCUGGCUCAGGACGUACGCUGGCGGCGUGCCUAAUACAUGCAAGUCGAGCGGACCUCAUAGGAAGCUUGCUUUUUAUGAGGUUAGCGGCGGACGGGUGAGUAACACGUGGGUAACCUGCCCUAUAGACCGGGAUAACCCGCGGAAACGCGUGCUAAUACCGGAUAACACAGCGGAGCGCAUGCUCCGGUGUUGAAAGGUGGUUCUGCUACCGCUAUAGGAUGGGCCCGCGGCGCAUUAGCUGGUUGGUGGGGUAACGGCCUACCAAGGCGACGAUGCGUAGCCGACCUGAGAGGGUGAUCGGCCACACUGGGACUGAGACACGGCCCAGACUCCUACGGGAGGCAGCAGUAGGGAAUCUUCCACAAUGGGCGAAAGCCUGAUGGAGCAACGCCGCGUGAGCGAAGAAGGUCUUCGGAUCGUAAAGCUCUGUU
rnacentral:rRNA from 1 species